GACGAACGCUGGCGGCGUGCUUAACACAUGCAAGUCGAGCGGUAAGGCCCCUUCGGGGGUACACGAGCGGCGAACGGGUGAGUAACACGUGGGUGACCUGCCCUCAGCUCUGGGAUAAGCCUGGGAAACUGGGUCUAAUACCGGAUAUGACUCCAUGACGCAUGUCGUGGGGUGGAAAGCCUUGUGCGGCUGGGGAUGGGCCCGCGGCCUAUCAGCUUGUUGGUGGGGNGAUGGCCUACCAAGGCGACGACGGGUAGCCGGCCUGAGAGGGCGACCGGCACACUGGGACUGAGACACGGCCCAGACUCCUACGGGAGGCAGCAGUGGGGAAUCUUGCGCAAUGGGCGAAAGCCUGACGCAGCGACGCCGCGUGAGGGAUGACGGCCU
rnacentral:rRNA from 1 species